CUCCCCUUUACAUUCUAUUAACCAACUGGGUGACACGUGCACAAUGCUGCCACUUUGGAAUUUCAGUAAUCUUGUAGAAAAUCGGUCAACAAACAGAAGUAAAGUAUAUAUCCUGUUUUAAGAAAAAAAUCUAUUUAAUGGAGUCACCUAAAAUACAGACAGUGCUCUCUGGAUGGAGGUAGAAGAGAUGCAGCAGAAGGCAAGGUCAGAGACAUCUGAGGUGGGAGGAGGACUCUAGGCACUGCGGCUCGUUUGAAGACCAAGGAUGCGAAUAAGGACUGCAAGAGGCUUUUAUUAAGCAGCUGAGACGGGGCUUCCGGCUGACAGCCAGCAAGGAAUGGGACCGCAGCCCUACCACUACAAGCGACUGAAUUCUGGUAACAAUCUGGAUGAGCCUGGUGCCAGGUGUGCCCCAGAGCCUAGGCUGAUUGACACCCUGAUUUCACCCUUGUGAGACCGGAGCAGAGGAGCUGGCCCGGCCCACCCCAACUUGCGACCUCUAGAGUGUUGUGAAAUGACUGUCACAGCAUCAAACACAGUGUCCUCAUCCAGCAGCAUGUGAAGGAAGACAAAGGUGAGCACGGCCUCUCAAGGAGUGAUGUAGAUCCAACCUCACAAAAUAAACAGAUUAAGAACAUUUCCUCGGUUUAGUCCCAUAGUGUUUGAACAAAUAAAAAAAAUGGUGUCAAAGAAUAUUUGAUAUUUUUUCCUGUCACCUUCCCAUGAUCUUUGAUCAUCCUGUUACAAUAACCAAAGCAAAAGCCCAGUAAUACACUAAGUAAAAGUAGGAGAAUAAAUACAGAAACAGAUAUCGGGCACAAAGAGGAGGGACAUCCGAAGACCUUUGUAUGCUAUUUUCGAGUACUGGCACCAUUCCUAAUAAAACUGCCUACCUUAAAAUCCCA